CUCCUACGGGAGGCAGCAAUCAGGAAUAGUCGGCAAUGGGCGAAAGCCUGACCGCGCGACGCCGCGUGUAGGAAUAAGCUCUUACGAGUGUAAACUACUGUGGCGAAGGAUGAAGUUCCGCCUUGGGCGGAAUUGACAGUACUUCGUUAGAAAGGGGCCGCUAACUGCGUGCCAGAAGCGUCGGUAAUACGUGGGCCCCAAGCGUUAUCCGGUAUCACUGGGCAUAAAGGGUCGUGUAGGCGUUCCGUUAAGUUCCCGUUUAAAUAUCAAGGCUUAACCUUGAAAAAGGUGGGGAAACUGGCGGGAUAGAAUUUUCUUAAGGGAGAUCGGAACUGAGGGAGGAGUAGUGAAAUGCGUUGAUACCCUCGGGAACACCAGUGGCGAAGGCGGAUCUCUGGAAGAAAAUUGACGCUGAGACACGAAAGCUAGGGGAGCGAAGCAGAUUAGAGACCUGCGUAGUCCUAGCUGUAAACGCAUGCUUGCUAGCUGCAUGAUUUCAGUACUUGAUUCUUAAAUAUUUGAGAAUCAAGUACUGAUAUCGUGUGGCGAAGGAAAUCCGUAAGCAAGCC
rnacentral:rRNA from 1 species